UACGGAGGGUGCAAGCGUUAUCCGGAUUCACUGGGCUUAAAGGGUGCGUAGGUGGGCAAGUAAGUCAGUGGUGAAAUCUCCGGGCUUAACCCGGAAACUGCCAUUGAUACUAUUUAUCUUGAAUACUUUGGAGGUAAGCGGAAUAUGUCAUGUAGCGGUGAAAUGCUUAGAUAUGACAUAGAACACCAAUUGCGAAGGCAGCUUACUACACAGUUAUUGACACUGAGGCACGAAAGCGUGGGGAUCAAACAGG
rnacentral:rRNA from 1 species